CGUAUCUUAGUUUAGUUUGGUAGAACGCGGGUUUCUAAAACCCGAUGUCGUAGGCUCAAAUUCUAUGGAGCGU
rnacentral:tRNA from 1 species